CCCUUAGAUGUUCUGGGCCGCACGCGCGCUACACUGAUGCAUUCAACGAGCCUAUCCUUGACCGACAGGUCCGGGUAAUCUUUGAAUCUGCAUCGUGACGGGGAUAGAUUAUUGCAAUUAUUAAUCUUCAACGAGGAAUGCCAAGUAGGCGCAAGUCAUCAGCUUGCGUCGAUUACGUCCCUGCCCUUUGUACACACCGCCCGUCGCUCCUACCGAUUGAGUGGUCCGGUGAGGCUUUGGGAUCUGAGCGGAAAGAGCGUUUCGCUGUUUCUGCUCGGAAAACUCAGUCGAACCUUAUCAUUUAGAGGAAGGAGAAGUCGUAACA
rnacentral:rRNA from 1 species